UUCACCCGACUAAGUCGGGGGAGGGGGAAAGUGAGACGACAUGCGUGAGAGAGCUGCAACGGAAAAGUUUGCUGGUUGGUUCCGAAGCGAGGGACUAGGCCGGCAACUGCGGCGGGCACUGGAAGGGGAGUAGCCCGGUAACCGUCGGCCCCUGCACUCGGACAAAAUGACAUCAGCACAGCCAAAAUGGAGGUGUGGAUGGAGGUGGGAGAUGCGCAGUGUAGGCAGGGGGGGAGGGCAGACUUCCAACUUCAAUCCACAUCAGCUGUGUUCAUGCUUUCCCUGACGCGACUGAACUUGCCCCAUAAUGAGAAUGUCAAGGACAAUACGGUAGCCAGAGAGGAUAUGGCACCUCCGCAAACGCUGGUGAAAUGCAGGUAGGCAGUAGCCACAAGGGAGUGCCUGAAUGAGGAACUGGGGUAGGGGGUUGGUGGGUAGGAGACUUACAGAGGGUCUACAACAGAUUUUCAACAGGGGAAGGGAAGUUUCCGUGAAAUUUCCAACGUAUUUUAU